GACGAACGCUGGCGGCGUGCUUAACACAUGCAAGUCGAACGGAAAGGCCCUUCGGGGUACUCGAGUGGCGAACGGGUGAGUAACACGUGGGUGAUCUGCCCUGCACUUCGGGAUAAGCCUGGGAAACUGGGUCUAAUACCGGAUACACCUCAUGGACUGCAUGGUCUGUGGGGGAAAGCUUUUGCGGUGUGGGAUGGGCCCGCGGCCUAUCAGCUUGUUGGUGGGGUGAUGGCCUACCAAGGCGACGACGGGUAGCCGGCCUGAGAGGGUGACCGGCCACACUGGGACUGAGAUACGGCCCAGACUCCUACGGGAGGCAGCAGUGGGGAAUAUUGCACAAUGGGCGCAAGCCUGAUGCAGCGACGCCGCGUGGGGGAUGACGGCCUUCGGGUUGUAAACCCCUUUCAGCACAGACGAAGCGCAAGUGACGGUAUGUGCAGAAGAAGGACCGGCCAACUACGUGCCAGCCGCCGCCGUAACAC
rnacentral:rRNA from 1 species